rnacentral:tRNA from 1 species
GCGGGUAUAGCUCAGUUGAUAGAGCGUCGGGUUCCCGUUUCUUUGACGAAAAGAAGCCAUCCGAAGGUCAGGGGUUUGAGUCCCCUUAUCCGCU